rnacentral:rRNA from 1 species
UGGGGAAUAUUGCACAAUGGGCGCAAGCCUGAUGCAGCCAUGCCGCGUGUAUGAAGAAGGCCUUCGGGUUGAAAAGUACUUUCAGCGGGGAGGAAGGCGAUAAGGUUAAUAACCUUGUCGAUUGACGUUACCCGCAGAAGAAGCACCGGCUAACUCCGUGCCAGCAGCCGCGGUAAUACGGAGGGUGCAAGCGUUAAUCGGAAUUACUGGGCGUAAAGCGCACGCAGGCGGUCUGUCAAGUCGGAUGUGAAAUCCCCGGGCUCAACCUGGGAACUGCAUUCGAAACUGGCAGGCUAGAGUCUUGUAGAGGGGGGUAGAAUUCCAGGUGUAGCGGUGAAAUGCGUAGAGAUCUGGAGGAAUACCGGUGGCGAAGGCGGCCCCCUGGACAAAGACUGACGCUCAGGUGCGAAAGCGUGGGGAGCAAACA